rnacentral:rRNA from 1 species
GAUGAACGCUGGCGGCGUGCCUAAUACAUGCAAGUCGAGCGAACGGACGAGAAGCUUGCUUCUCUGAUGUUAGCGGCGGACGGGUGAGUAACACGUGGAUAACCUACCUAUAAGACUGGGAUAACUUCGGGAAACCGGAGCUAAUACCGGAUAAUAUUUUGAACCGCAUGGUUCAAAAGUGAAAGACGGUCUUGCUGUCACUUAUAGAUGGAUCCGCGCUGCAUUAGCUAGUUGGUAAGGUAACGGCUUACCAAGGCAACGAUGCAUAGCCGACCUGAGAGGGUGAUCGGCCACACCGGAACUGAGACACGGUCCAGACUCCUACGGGAGGCAGCAGUAGGGAAUCUUCCGCAAUGGGCGAAAGCCUGACGGAGCAACGCCGCGUGAGUGAUGAAGGUCUUCGGAUCGUAAAACUCUGUUAUUAGGGAAGAACAUAUGUGUAAGUAACUGUGCACAUCUUGGCGGUACCUAAUCAGAAAGCCACGGCUAACUACGUG